GGCGUCAUUACCGGUCGUUCACGGUGGGUAAAAUGGCAGAGGUCGGUCAGAGACUGGGCACCGGAGCCUACCGGCUGUCCGUGUUCAGGACCAGCCCGAGCUGCCCGGCCCGCACUAGAGGAAGUCCCGGAUCCCUGCGGGUCACCGUGAGCGACCCUGGGGAUGAUGAAGAGUCAAACCGGGAUCAACGUCAGGUUCAGCCAAUGCCUCAAGGGAAAGUCUCCACAAAACGAGUUUUGUGCUUCUUACCAGGACUCCAGCCUGAACUCCAGGAGAAGCUGGUGCCUGACAGGAUGGCAUCCUGGACCAGAGGAGCUGCGUCCACCCCCCAUGAGGUCUUCAGGGCCCACCAGCAGCUCAGAGCUUUCUGCACUGUUGUAUUUAUUCUGAGAUCAGAGAGGCCGGCUUGUAGACUGAGGUGCACAAAACCACAUGCUGAUGCUCAUUUUACCACAUCCAGAGGUUACAGCUGGAGUGGAGACGGUAAAACAAAAGACACUCUACUGCUGUACAGAAGCAGGACAGCCUAUUACGACAUCCUCAAAGUGUCCCCUAGUGCCACACAGUCUCAGAUCAAGAGUGCCUACUAUAAACAGUCCUUCAUCUACCACCCUGACAAGAAUGCAGGGAGUGAAGAGGCCAAGCAGAUGUUCGCAGAGAUCAGCGAGGCCUACACAGUUUUGGGCAACAUCACCCUGAGGAGGAAGUACGAUCGGGGCAUCUUGAGCCUGUCAGAUGUCCGAAGUGCAGGAAGACCAUCCUCCAAAGAAUCCACAAACAGAUCCACAGGCUCCCCACAGCAGCAGCAGCAGCAACAAAAGGGAGCCAGGCAGUUCUCUCACAGAGGAAAGGGGCCCAUGUUUGAUUUUGAUGCUUUUUAUCAGGCACACUAUGGGGAUCAGCUGCAGAGGGAACAGGAGAUGAGAGCCAGGAAGUGGCGCAUGGAACAGAUACAGAAGGAGAGGGAAAAGAUGAAGAAGGCUAGACUUAUUGACCUAACUGUGUACAUGUUGCUGACGUCAGCUGGCCUCAUUAUUUUCCACCUCAGCAUGACCUGAAAUAGUAACAGGGCUGGACAUUUCUUCUGAGGUUGCAUGUUACAACACUCAGGAGGAGGAAGAGUGGGUGCUAUCUCAAAUUAAAUCUAGUUUUGCACAGAUUCAGAAUAUGGAGGAUGAUUGUUUUAUUUGUGUUUCAGGCAAAAAACAAAAGGCAGGUUUAAUUAAUUCAGACAUUUAGGGGUGUUGGAUUUAAAAAUCAUUAAGAUUAAACAUAGAUGUAAAGAGUUACCAAGAACUGCACACCAAACUGUAAGUUAAAGAUGUUUUAAUUGUGAUUUAAAACAUUUAACUCAGAAUCUCAAAAUAUCUUAUUUGUUUUGUAAUACUGUGUAUAACAUAGUUUUAACAAACUGUGUUCUUGCUGGUUCCAAUCACAUCAAAAAUAUAAUGGUCUCAGGAGAAAUCCUUUAUCCUUUUUAGGGGUCAUGCAGAUGCAGUCUUUAUCCCAGUUCAUUUAAUUUAUUUACAGUCAUUUCUAUUAACAGAGGAGCUCCUAAGCCAAACUUAUUUUGGCAGCUGAAAAAGAUCUUGUCCAUUUAGAGAAACCGAGUACGCAGGGAUGGAAAAUGAUAUACCCAUCAAAACUACACGCACAAUCCCUCACCUUUUCCCUUCACACUGGCUCUGAAUUGUAUAAAAGUACUUUUAAGUGUUCUUAUAAAAUGGCCCAUAAACACACACACAUUUUGGCUUCUUCAUCUGUUAUCUACCCAUACACACAAUGAUUCAUUUUAUUUUAUAUGAAAAAAAAAAAGUUGAUUUUGCGUUUUAAAAACUGUGUAAGACUGGAUGUAACUAAACAAUAUGGUUUAAUUUACUUUUUAUUGUUUCUGCGUUUGAUGAAUGCAAAUAAGUUUUAACUGUGUUUCUUGAGGUAUUUCAGGUUUUAAACAUUUCAACCUCUGACCUCUAGAGGGCGCCUCAAUACAUUAAAAUCAUCUGCAUUACAGUUUUGACAUGCUCAGUGUUGUUUAACCUACAUAGGGGACAACACCGAGGGAUGGCACUAAGGCCUCAUUGAUUGUUUAGACACCAAUGAUGUGGUGCGUUUGUGCAUAUGUGUAAUAUGUAUGUAAUAAAUAUGUAUAAUUUCACAAAAAAUAUGUAGAAUUU